CCGGACCCGCGCGAGGAGAGGGCGGCGGGGGGGGGGGCGGGCAGCUAAAAAGUCCUGCUACUUUCUAGUUCCGCUUCACUUUCUGCGCGGCGUUAGUACCGGAGAGCCGGGGGGGGCAGCGGAGCAUCGUCACCGGGGAGUCUGAAACACGGCCAAGUCUCCCACCAACUCCGGUCGGAGCCGAGGCGAGGCGGCGGUCUGCGGCGCGUCCAGCGGCCGGGCGCGGGGCUCCUCCGGGCGGCUUGUCUUCACUGCCGCCGUCGGUCGUGGGCCCGGUGACCGACUUCCGGUCUUGUCCAUACUGACUAUGUUGAACUUGAUGUUUCCCAAACCGGCCAUCGCAGACAAAUCUAUCACAGGAACCUGGAGCAACCCGCUGUGAUCUGCUGGACGUGGCGGUGUUUCUGCAGCGUCGGUGGACGUGAUGUGGCACGCGUCACGUAAGAUGAUGCAUCCGAGAUGCUUUCUGACUGACUGUGAAGUGAUUCAAGAGACGUUUGGGCUGCUGCGCCUCAGCUGCUCUCACAUCAUGCAGAGCUUUCUCAGUGCGAGAUUAAACCAAACAGGCGGCACACGUUUGCCUCCAUGAAAUCCAGCUCUCAAGUAAAUAAGAAUAACAGCUUUUUAUCAGAAUUGACAAGCUUAUUAUCUCAUUGAUUUAGAAAAACAGCGUUUCCCUAUUUAAAUGUUUCUCAAAUAUAACAAAUAAAAUACCUUGGUGAUUUAGAAAAAAAUGCUGAUUUAUUUCUUACCGUUUCUCCGAAUCAGCAAAAUUCUAAUUAUUUAUUCAGAAAAAAAUAUCUUUAAAUAUUUUUUAAAGAGUGCAAAGCAAUACUUUUCUUACGCAAAUGAAUGCUUUCAUCUUCUCCAUUAUGUCAGGUCAAAUGUAUGCAGUUGGAAAGAUCUAUUAUGUGGUCAAAGGAGAAGGCUAAUGGGUUAAUUAUCUCGCAUAAAGUGCUUUCAGACAUUGGUGCAAGGUUUAAGUAUAGGCAUCCAUUAUGUAAAUGUUCAAAUAUGGCAGAAUAGGACAGAAAAGAGUUUUUUUUAGCUCUCUCGCAGGCGGCAGUGGGGGAUUUUAAAUCUAUUUAUUUGGUGAUAUUUGCCACUCAUUGUGUAUCAGAGAGGGAAUUCUGUUGCCGUUUCAAUAACAGCGACCAAUGAGAGCGCACAAUGUCAGCAAGCCGAGUCUGGACUCAGCUUUAAUUUGCUAUAAUAUAUAAUAAUAUGUUUGGCUGAGCAGUCGGACUUUGAUCUUCGCCGUUGGCGUGCAUGGACAUUUAGAACAUGGAGGGCGAGUGUUUGUGCAAUUAUUGUUGCAGUUGUAAGCAUUUGGAAGAUGAAAGAGGAAGCCAUCGGGUCGCCACAGACGAACAAGGAUUCAUGGAAAUUCAGCUCUAGCUCGUUUGUGACAAUAAAGACACGACGGACUAAACAAAACCAAAAAAUCGCAACGGUUUUGUUUCCCUCGUUAUCGUUAUUUCGGAAAAAAUGACGAAGUUUAGCAAAGAAUGUUGAAAAUAUAAUGACGUUGCUUCUCAAAAUAUUGAUUGGCAUCCCGGAUGAAUGACUGACCGUCUCAGAAUAAUGAGUUUGCAUCUAAAAGGGCUUUGAUUCGUUCGUCUGUGCCCACUGUUGCUGGUCGACCACGAAGCUGCACAUCUUAUUGUUCAGUUCUUGUUUGCUUCCACAACGUCUUCCAGGGGCGACGCUGACAGACACACUAAACGACAGCAGCCCCCCACUUUCAGCCGCUGGUCCACCAGGGCCACUUAUGACCUGGCGAGGCGGCGUGCCGAGGCUCCGCGCAGCAGCAGGCGUGCAGGGCGGACCCCCCCCCAGGCCCCCCCAGAUCCCCUGCUAAUGAUGUGCUAAAGCAUUUGACUUUGCAAGACGCCUUUUUAUCCUUUGACCUUUAGAGAAGUACUUAUAGGCCAGUGGAGAAGUUCUUUCUCCGGCUUCUCGGCCCCUCAUCCGUCUCCCUUGGUGGUAAAUUAGGAGCUUUGUGGGGGGAAGUUAAUACCGCGUGCAAUUAUAUGAAAAUGGGAUUGUUUUUAUACGAAAACAAUGGAGGGAUAUUCAUUCAAGUCACACCUUUCUCCAUUGCACCUUUACAUUAUCACUUUCCUAAUUCAUAUCAUUGAUUUUCUCACAAACACGUUCUUCAGCCAAGCGUGCAGCACAUUUUCAUUUGAGAAAUGCUUUUGCAUAUCACAUCUUUUUGCCCUGAAUGCUGCAGUUGGGUACCGUGCUAUUUUCGACGCUUGUGCAGCUGUUGGACACAUCUUUAUCUUUCAGCUGUGAAGGACGUAAUGUGUUGAUGUUAUUCCAACCCAUCCACAUCUUAUUAUUAUAUCGGCGAUUUGAACGUGAAGAUUUUGCCUCAUUAUGUCUCUUUUUCCACACUGUGUUCUAUACAGAGGGGAAGGACAAUGUUUCUACCCACUGACCAGCAGGGGGCGACUCCUCCGGUUCCAUAGACGUCUAUGAGAAAAGGACUCUACUUAUCUUUCUAUUUACUCCCUCACUAAACAUUGUAAACAUGAGUUUACCGUCUCAACAUGUAGUCUUCUCGAAAGAUGGUCCAUUUAGAGUGAAACCGACCACAAAGCAGGACGCGCUUCAGGGCUCAGAGCUUUUAAAUGCUGCAGAUGCUGCGGCAACACACUCGGCCUGCAGACACACCUCUUCCGUACCAUGAAACACGAGAACUACACACUUUUCUUUACUUCUCAGAGGGAAAUGUUCUGCUUGCAUGCGUGUGACGUGUUGUGAUAUUGCUGUCCUGACCAGGAAGCACGUGCGUGUUCAGGUGAAUCUUCAGAGCUGAAUGCUGGAAUGUGAAGAAUGAAAUGGGUGGGGGUGAAAACAGCACCAUCCCGGAGAAGAAACAGCCCCCACCUUUAUGCACCAACCACCUGGUUAGGGGAUACAUGGAUGGGAAAUGGGAUUAUUGCUUCCCAAGUCUCUGUACUUUUUCAUUUUCUUGUCAGAACUUCGUGGGAAUUCUGCCGUAUUAAAUUCCAACACAAGGAUUG